CUUGGUGAAAAGAACCUAUUACUAAUUACUGGCUUGCUAUCCCUAGCCUCCCCUAGCAAUUAAUAAUGCAUGAUAAAUGGAAGCAAAAUACAAUUGAUCGUCCUACCCAUAUCCCUAGGCGGUAUUAACAUAAUCAAGGAAUUCAACACCAGUUCAUGACAUUACUGUACGUCCUCGUAUCAAUAAAGACAAACAACAUUUAACGAAU
rnacentral:lncRNA from 1 species